AAAGUACUCCCUCCGUCCCAAAAUUCUUGUCUUGGAUUUGUCUAGAUACAGAUGUAUCAAGUCACAUUUUAGUAUUAGAUACAUUCAUAUCUAGACAAAUCUAAGACAAGAAAUUUGGGACAGAGGGAGUAGUUG
rnacentral:pre_miRNA from 1 species